rnacentral:rRNA from 1 species
AUCUCUGUAGAGUCUGCAUAUCAAUAAGCGGAGGAAAAGAAACUAACUAGGAUUCCCUCAGUAACGGCGAGUGAAGCGGGAAGAGCUCAAAUUUGAAAUCUUCAAGGUUCUACCUUGACGAAUUGUAGUUUAAAGAAGUGUUUUCUGUUAGAUGAGUAGCAAAAGUUCCUUGGAAUGGGACAUCAUAGAGGGUGAGAAUCCCGUAUUUGGUUAUUCAUUCUAGCUUUGUGAUACACUUUCAAAGAGUCGGAUUGUUUGGGAAUGCAGUCCAAAAUGGGUGGUAAAUUUCAUCUAAAGCUAAAUAUUGGCGAGAGACCGAUAGCGAACAAGUACCGUGAGGGAAAGAUGAAAAGAACUUUGAAAAGAGAGUUAAACAGUACGUGAAAUUGUCAAAAGGGAAGCGUUUGACACCAGUGUUGUUUUUCCGAAAAUCAAUUACGAAUGGCUUGAUUUUGUGUUGUAUUGACCUUAUCAGCUUUCUUCACUUUUUUCGAGUCUUUCUUAAUGCACUUUUCGGUUAACAAGUCAACAUCAAUUUCUUUUGUUGUAAAAGAGUAUUCGGAAGGUGGCUUUCUUUUCGGAGAAAGUGUUUAUAGCCCUAUACUUCUACAAUCGGAGAGAUUGAGGUCUGCAGCGUAGAUCCUUCGGGGUUAGAUACACUUUGUGCUAAGUUGUAGCUUUUCAUAGACAACUUGUUGACUAUGUUUAGUCAUGCGGCUUACUCGCUUAGUGCUAUUUUACCUACGCUUAGGAUGUUGAUAGUCACAGCGUGUAC